rnacentral:sRNA from 1 species
AUGCCGAAAUUUAAACUAACACAUCAUGACAAUAUGAAAAUUUAUACUCUGUACCAACAAGGAUGGCCCGUGCAUGCCAUAUUACGAAAGUUGUCCGCUGAUGGUAUAGAUAUUUCUUGGGGAGCUGUUAAAAAUGUGAUCAUUAAGUACCAACAUGGUCGUGCUGGAUAUGAACAUUUGUCAAGAAAGAAAAUUCCGACAUUCAAAAGUAUUACAGAUGCAGAUAUUGAUUUUGUUAAAUCUACACUUGAUGAAAAUCCAACUCAAACAUGCAGUGACAUUAUGCGUCGUUUAUCAGACAAGGGCACAAUUACAAGUAAAUCUACCGUUCGAAAAAUGAUAGAUUCAGCCGGAUACACUGCAUCAACACCUCGUUAUGGACAGAUGAUUCGUGAUGCAAAUAAAUUAAAGAGAGUUGAGUUUUGUAAGCAACUUAUAGCAGUCAAUGAACAAUUUGACGAUAUCAUAUUCACAGAUGAGGCAACCGUUCAACUUCACGAUAAUAAAGUUGUUAUAUACAGAAGAAAGGAUUGCGUUGCUCCUGUACUGCCGAAGCCAAAGCAUCCACUUAAAGUCCACGUUUUGGGGAGGCAUUAG